rnacentral:other from 2 species
UGUUCCCUGCGGGGUUCGUGAUGCCCAGCAGAAAUUCGAACCGAUACGUCCAUUCCGGGGUCCGUUUCGGUCGCCAUGUGCAAGCCCUCCCCCUCACGGGGAUGAGGGAAGCCUGCGGCGGCAUGAUUUCGGUCCCCACCUGACUUACGAGGGUUCAAUGGACGCUGGACACACGGCUCGGCGGGGGACUC